rnacentral:rRNA from 1 species
UACGAGGGGUGCAAGCGUUGCUCGGAAUUAUUGGGCGUAAAGGGCAGGUAGGUGGUCUCAUUUGUCCAGGGUGAAAUCCUUCGGCUUAACCGAAGAAGUGCCUUGGAAACGGUGAGACUAGAGUACUGGAGAGGGUCGUGGAAUUCCCGGUGUAGCGGUGAAAUGCGUAGAGAUCGGGAGGAACACCAGAGGCGAAGGCGGCGACCUGGACAGUUACUGACACUCAACUGCGAAAGCGUGGGGAGCAAACAGGAUUAGAUACCCUGGUAGUCCACGCCGUAAACGAUGGGUACUAGGCUUGGUGGGUCUUGACCCCUGCCGAGCCGGAGCUAACGCAAUAAGUACCCCGCCUGGGAAGUACGGUCGCAAGACUA